CACGAAACGUUUGUUCGCCACCACAGCAACCUAAAAUAUAUAGUAUUUAUUGUAUUUUUAUGAAUUAUGACGAGUAUUUAUUGUUUUUAUCAUAAUUCAUAAAAAUACAAUAAAUACUAUAUAUUUUAGGUUGCUGUGGUGGCGAACAAACGUUUCGUG
rnacentral:miRNA from 1 species